rnacentral:snoRNA from 1 species
AUACCAUGACGAGGACAUUUUCUAAGUAACUCUUUAAAUCUUUCUAAUGCAUCAUGUAAGCUUUCAUUUUCAAGUUGAUGGAAGGAUGUGAUUUCAUUCCUCAAUUU